rnacentral:lncRNA from 1 species
CAAAAUGCUCAUAUAAGGGUCUAACCUUUACAAAAAUACUCAAUUGAAAGCCAAACCUUUCAAAGUGCUCAAAUAAGGGCCAAAAGUUUUUGAAAGUGCUCAAAUAAAAGCCAAACUUUUUUGAAAGUACUCAAAUAAGGGCUUCUCAUAUUUCGUAUAUCAGAUCUCAAAUUAUGUUUUUAUUUUUUUUAUUUUCAAGCAAUAUUUGAUUCAAC